rnacentral:rRNA from 1 species
CAGUCGCCGCGGGAAUACGAAGGUCCCGAGCGUUGUUCGGAAUCACUGGGCGUAAAGGGAGCGUAGGCGGCGUGGUAAGUCAGAUGUGAAAUCCCGGGGCUCAACCCCGGAACUGCAUCCGAUACUGCCAUGCUAGAGGAUUGGAGAGGUAGCUGGAAUUCUUGGUGUAGCAGUGAAAUGCGUGGAGAUCAAGAGGAACACUCGUGGCGAAAGCGAGCUACUGGACAAUAACUGACGCUGAGGCUCGAAGGCCAGGGUAGCGAAAGGGAUUAGAUACCCGCGUAGUCCCUGUCUCUUAUAC